rnacentral:lncRNA from 1 species
GCCCUGCCUUGAGUGUGGGGCAGGAAUGCCUAUGUGAGAGGUUAACCAGAUAUAGGACUCCUCUGUCUUGCUACGAUGGACAGCCACAAGGAUUCACUUGAAUAAAAGAAGCAACAGUGGGUGCCAGGCUGUUUGAAUUCUUAUUCGGGGUCCAGAGAGAUGGGUAAGAGCAUUUGUUGCUCUUGCAGCGGACCUGGGUUUGGUGUCUAACAUCCAUGUGGUGGCUCACAUCCAUCAGUAACUCCAUUCGAGGAGAUCCAAUACCCUCUACUGCCCUCCUCUAGUACCACACAGAAAUGUGCUGUUUUGUUAUACAUUUAUUACAAAGAAUCUCACAAAAAGAAAAUAUUUCAAAAAGAAUGCCAGGCUAAAGAACCUCCACCUGGAGAACUGGGGGAAGGCAGGGCAAUAAUAUCAACGUCAACAUACAGCACCCUCUGGCCAUACUUUAGCAGUUCCAGGAUGGCCAAGACGACAUCGUUGAUGUAACAGAAACCUGAGGCGUCAGACUUCUUUACAUGAUG